GGGGGAAAGGCCGAUGCGUUGAAGUUUGGAAGAGGGGUUAGGGUGGGAGCGAUCGAGGAGGUGAAGAAGGGAGGAAGAAGAGGUGGCGUUGGCGGUUGAGGGAGGAGGAGGAGAGGGUUUGCGGGAAUCUUCGAGUUCUUGCUUGUCCUCGAGCUUGACUUCGAUUUUGGAAGGUUUUCUUCUAAGCAUUUCCUUGUACUUCAAAAAGAGUUAGAAGAAUAAUGCGAUUAGGUUUACUGCAUUCUCUUGAUUCAAAU
rnacentral:lncRNA from 1 species